rnacentral:rRNA from 1 species
UACUUUGAGAUUAAGUAAAAUAGGUUAGAGUUUAGUUAAGUGAUUAUAUUUAAACUAUUUAUAAAUAAUAAAAGGUAAAAUGUAAAUAUUAUUUUAUAAAAUUUUAAUAAUUGUUGCUGAAGCUAAUAAAAUUUGAUUAUAGACUAGGAUUAGAUACCCUAUUAUUUCAAAAAUAAAAAUUUAUAAGCUAGAUUAGUAUUAGAUAAAUACUUAAAAAUUAAAAAAUUUGGCGGUAAUUUAAUCUUUUCAGAGGAAUUUGUUUUUUAAUCGAUAAACCACGUAAAAUCUUACUUGUCUUCGUGUUCAGUUUGUAUACCAUCAUUAUCAGGUAAUUCUUCAAGGAAAAAUUACUGUACUUAACUUUACUUAUAAAAAUUAGAUCAUGGUGCAGCUAAUAGACAAGAUAAAAUGAAUUACAAUAAAUUUCUUUAAACGGAUUAAUAAAGUAAAUUUAUUAUGAAGGAGGAUUUGAUUGUAGAGUAAGUUUAAUAUGCUUACUUGAUAUAAGUGCUAAAUUAUGUACAUAUCGCCCGUCGCUUUCACUUACAAGU